rnacentral:rRNA from 1 species
GAACCUGCGGAAGGAUCAUUGUCGAAACCAAGUGGAAAGACCCGCGAACGUGUAAACGAAAACGUCAAAGGCGGGGGAGUUUUGCUCCCUCCGACCUUUGUCUGCAUGGCUGUCCCCGUCGUUCGGCGCAACGCGGCGCCGCGAAAUGAUUUUUCAUUGGGCCGAUCGGCGGGUUCUUGUCAUGCUAGAAAUCAACCAACAAACGGGCGCAGGCUGCGCCAAGGAAAACGAAAGCAAUAGACUCGUCCUCCCGUGACGCGCUCGCUUCGGCAGCGUUGGGAUGGCGAUGUCGUCAUCGGCAUAUGAUGACUCUCGGCAACGGAUAUCUCGGCUCUCGCAUCGAUGAAGAACGUAGCGAAAUGCGAUACUUGGUGUGAAUUGCAGAAUCCCGUGAACCAUCGAGUCUUUGAACGCAAGUUGCGCCCGAUGCCACUUUAGGCUGAGGGCAUGUCUGUCUGGGUGUCGCACGUAGCGUCACCUGCCAAAGAUCCCCCCUCGGGAUGCGCAGGUGGAUUGUGGCCUCCCGUGACUUCGGAUCCAAGUCGCGGUUGGCCGAAAUUGGAAGGUGGGAAAGUGGGUGCCAUGACAGUGGGUGGUUGGCGAGGCCUCGAUGGCGUGCGGUUACGACAACUUGUCACGGCCCCCCCWAUCCAACCUUUGUUUGUUUCGACCUUGAUGUGCCGUAGGUAGCGGCAUCAUGCGGUGACCCCAGAUCAGGCGGGAUUACCCGCUGAGUUUAAGCAUAUCAAUAAGCGG